UACGAAGGGUGCAAACGUUGCUCGGAAUUAUUGGGCGUAAAGCGCACGUAGGCGGUACUGAAAGUCGGAUGUGAAAUCCCUCAGCUCAACUGAGGAAGUGCAUCCGAAACUUCUGUACUUGAGUACUUAAGAGGAUCGCGGAAUUCCCGGUGUAGAGGUGAAAUUCGUAGAUAUCGGGAGGAACACCAGUGGCGAAGGCGGCGAUCUGGGAAGAUACUGACGCUGAGGUGCGAAAGCGUGGGGAGCAAACAGG
rnacentral:rRNA from 1 species